CUAAUCUAAUUGAAAAUUGGAUUGGGAAUUUCAAUUCAUGCGCACAAUAACAAGGAAACUCAGACAAAGAGGCCAAUGGCAGUGAUGGUGAUGGAGUGGAACAGGGUUCAGCAACUCAAAAACUGAAAGAUUCCAGGAAGGUCACCAGAAAGUACCAGUUGGAGCUAAGCCAGAAAGCUUUGGAUGAGAAUAUAAUUGUGUAUUUGGGAAGAGGUUGUGGGAAGACCCACAUUGCUGUACUGCUUAUACACGAGCUAGGUCACUUGAUAAGGAAGCCCCAGAAGAACAUAUGCGUCUUUUUUGGCCCUACUGUGGUUCUGUUUUUUCAGGAAUAUAGGACUGACUCAGAAGAUAAGCG